UAGGUCUCAAGGCCCUUCCACCAUCUCCCGACCCCCACAGCAUUACCCGUCUCCUGCCCGUGGCCUGUCUUUGCCCUGCCAUCCCUCAAGACCAUUGUGGAGCUGCUCCUCCUUCCUGUGCCCCCUUAGGUGUGGGUCUUACCGAGUGCAAAGGGCCAAGCUCUUGGCCGUCCUCCUGCGAGACAGCUCUGGAUGGUUCUGUUGCCAGGGAAGGGAGGCCUGCGCAUCCAGACCCCUGCCCACCAUGCUGCUUAAAAGUGUCUUCAGGAGAGAACUGGGACCUGGGCUUGGCCAGAGCCUGUGGAAGGCACUGGGGCUGGGGCUGAGUUGUGGGCUGGCCAAGCAGGUCAAUGGCCAGCAAGGAGGGGGGUCCGAGCCGGCGGCGGCGGCAGUGGUGGCAGCGGGAGACAAAUGGAAACCUCCACAGGGCACAGACUCCAUCAAGAUGGAGAACGGGCAGAGCACAGCCGCCAAGCUGGGGCUGCCGCCCCUGACGCCCGAGCAGCAGGAGGCCCUUCAGAAGGCCAAGAAGUACGCCAUGGAGCAGAGCAUCAAGAGCGUGCUGGUGAAGCAGACCAUCGCGCACCAGCAGCAGCAGCUCACCAAUCUGCAG
rnacentral:sRNA from 1 species